rnacentral:rRNA from 1 species
AGCGAACGCUGGCGGCAGGCCUAACACAUGCAAGUCGAACGAACCUUUCGGGGUUAGUGGCGGACGGGUGAGUAACACGUGGGAACGUGCCUUUAGGUUCGGAAUAACUCAGGGAAACUUGUGCUAAUACCGAAUGUGCCCUUCGGGGGAAAGAUUUAUCGCCUUUAGAGCGGCCCGCGUCUGUUUAGCUAGUUGGUUGGGGUAAUGGCUCACCAAGGCGACGAUCAGUAGCUGGUCUGAGAGGAGGAUCAGCCACAUUGGGACUGAGACACGGCCCAAACUCCUACGGGAGGCAGCAGUGGGGAAUCUUGCGCAAUGGGCGAAAGCCUGACGCAGCCACGCCGCGUGAAUGAUGAAGGUCUUAGGAUUGUAAAAUUCUUUCACCGGGGACGAUAAUGACGGUACCCGGAGAAGAAGCCCCGGCUAACUUCGUG